rnacentral:rRNA from 1 species
GAGACCGGCGCACGGGUGCGUAACGCGUAUGCAAUCUACCUUUUACAGAGGGAUAGCCCAGAGAAAUUUGGAUUAAUACCUCAUAGUAUAGUACAAUCGCAUGAUUGAAUUAUUAAAGUCACAACGGUAAAAGAUGAGCAUGCGUCCCAUUAGCUAGUUGGUAAGGUAACGGCUUACCAAGGCGACGAUGGGUAGGGGUCCUGAGAGGGAGAUCCCCCACACUGGUACUGAGACACGGACCAGACUCCUACGGGAGGCAGCAGUGAGGAAUAUUGGACAAUGGGCGCAAGCCUGAUCCAGCCAUGCCGCGUGCAGGAUGACGGUCCUAUGGAUUGUAAACUGCUUUUGUACAGGAAGAAACCCUUUCACGUGUGGAAGAUUGACGGUACUGUAAGAAUAAGGAUCGGCUAACUCCGUGCCAGCAGCCGCGGUAAUACGGAGGAUCCAAGCGUUAUCCGGAAUCAUUGGGUUUAAAGGGUCCGUAGGCGGUCUAGUAAGUCAGUGGUGAAAGCUCAUCGCUCAACGGUGGAACGGCCAUUGAUACUGCUAGACUUGAAUUAUUAGGAAGUAACUAGAAUAUGUAGUGUAGCGGUGAAAUGCUUAGAGAUUACAUGGAAUACCAAUUGCGAAGGCAGGUUACUACUAAUGGAUUGACGCUGAUGGACGAAAGCGUGGGUAGCGAACAGGAUUAGAUACCCUGGUAGUCCACGCCGUAAACGAUGGAUACUAGCUGUUGGGCGCAAGUUCAGUGGCUAAGCGAAAGUGAUAAGUAUCCCACCUGGGGAGUACGUUCGCAAGAAUGAAACUCAAGGAAUUGACGGGGGCCCGCACAAGCGGU